UUCUCAUCUAAUCCUAUCAAAUUUCACAAACUAUAUUCUCUCUGCCCAUCCCACGGGCACCAACUGCAUCUGUAGGUGGUCUCUGAAUACUGGACUGGGUUUGACAAGUGGUUUGCCAUUUGGAGGAGAUGCUGGACACUCCCACAGAAGCCGGAAACAGAGCUAUUCCUUGGCCUGGAGUUAGACCAUACUAAUUUCUGCUGAAGUGUGGCCAAAGGAUGGCCACAGAAUUACUUCAACAUCAGCUUAAGUCUUUCAGCAGAGUAUAGGAAACUGAAGUUUGGGAGAUGGGAGCUGACAGUAAAGAUAACACUAGGACCAAGUCAAAGUCAAGACAGUCCUGUCACCCCACCGACAGGGACGACCUGUGCUAAAGGGGCACAAGUUGGUAUAUUCUUGCAUGGCCAGAUCUGUGGCUUGAGUUAUUGCUGAGGAGAAGUGAGAAG
rnacentral:lncRNA from 1 species